rnacentral:rRNA from 1 species
GACGAACGCUGGCGGCGUGCUUAACACAUGCAAGUCGAACGGAAAGGCCCUGCUUUUGUGGGGUGCUCGAGUGGCGCACGGGUGAGUAACACGUGAGUAACCUGCCCUUGACUUUGGGAUAUCUUCAGGAAACUGGGGCUAAUACCGGAUAGGAGCUCCUGCUGCAUGGUGGUGGUUGGAAAGUUUCGGUGGUUGGGGAUGGACUCGCGGCUUAUCAGCUUGUUGGUGGGGUAGUGGAUUACCAAGGCUUUGACGGGUAGCCGGCCUGAGAGGGUGACCGGCCACAAUGGGACUGAGAUACGGCCCAGACUCCUACGGGAGGCAGCAGUGGGGAAUAUUGCACAAUGGGCGGAAGCCUGAUGCAGCAACGCCGCGUGCGGAAUGACGUCCUUCGGGUUGUAAACCGCUUUCGCCUGUGACGAAGCGUGAGUGACGGUAAUGGGUAAAGAAGCACCGGCUAACUACGUG